UACGAAGGGGGCUAGCGUUGUUCGGAAUUACUGGGCGUAAAGCGCGCGUAGGCGGGCAUCUAAGUCAGGGGUGAAAUGCCAGGGCUCAACCUUGGAAUUGCCUUUGAUACUGGAUGUCUGGAGUUCGGGAGAGGUGAGUGGAAUUCCGAGUGUAGAGGUGAAAUUCGUAGAUAUUCGGAGGAACACCAGAAGCGAAGGCGGCUCACUGGCCCGAUACUGACGCUGAGGCGCGAAAGCGUGGGGAGCGAACAGG
rnacentral:rRNA from 1 species